UGGGGAAUCUUGGACAAUGGGGGAAACCCUGAUCCAGCGAUGCCGCGUGUGUGAAGAAGGCCUUAGGGUUGUAAAGCACUUUAAUGAGGGAGGAUUAGGAUGCGUUGAAUAGACGUGUCUGAGGACGUUACCUCAAGAAUAAGCACCGGCUAACUCUGUGCCAGCAGCCGCGGUAAUACAGAGGGUGCGAGCGUUAAUCGGAAUUAUUGGGCGUAAAGGGAGCGUAGGCGGAUGUGCAAGUGAUAUGUGAAAUACCCCGGGCUUAACCUGGGGAGGUCAUAUCAGACUGCACGUCUAGAAUGUGGUAGAGGAAGGUGGAAUUCCUGGUGUAGCGGUGAAAUGCGUAGAUAUCAGGAAGAACAUCAAUGGCGAAGGCAGCCUUCUGGGCCAUUAUUGACGCUGAGGCUCGAAAGCGUGGGGAGCGAACAGGAUUAGAUACCCACGUAGUCCCUGAGCGGGCUGGCAAGGCGCAU
rnacentral:rRNA from 1 species